GUUCAAUUCUAAAUUUUGUCGACCAGCUGCCAGACGAAGAUGGCCGGCUUAUGAUUAUGCACGGAGCAAUGGACGAAAACGUUCAUUUUAUGCAACACACUGGUCAACUUGUUAAUCUGCUGAUAAAGCAUGGAAAACCUUAUCAUUUACAGAUGUAUCCCGGUGAACGUCACAGUUUGCGGCACCCCGACUCCAAUGAACACUAUCUGACCUCGCUGCUAGCGUUUCUACGAAAGAACUUGUGAUACGCGAGAUCUGAAACGUGAUACUGACAUUCGGGUCACGUGACUUUAAUAAUAUAAAAAAUAAUAUUAUCUUGAAAAAUCAUUUCCCCCCGUUCCCCUUUUGAAAAUAUUUUUUCUCCCAGAGCGCAAACAAUGGUUCUGUUUGCUAUCUAUUUAUUAGAGAAAUACAAAUCUGACUCUUGUCAAAUUAGGUUAUACACUGUACAGUGUGUAGUGUAUACUGUACACUGUACAGGGUGUGAUCUUAACAAGGCUCUUUUUUGUGAACAUAGUUACUGUAGUUACCAACUUAAAACCAAAUUUGUAUGUCUUUUAGUACACCCUUUAGAGUUAUUUAUAUUACUUUAACAGCUAAUGAUUUCUGUUCUUCUGUGUAACCUUUCAACUCUUCUACCUUCAGGAAACUGACCUAAGGGUUUUCUGGCCUAAAACUGUUAGAUGUAGUUGGAGUUGGAUGCAGGUCAGUUUCGAGUCUUUUCUCUGUAAUUAUACGAUCCAUAUAACUUGAACGUAAAGGGACUGUAAACAUAUUUUACAUUUAUAGAGUGGCAAGUUGACCUUUAACUGACCAAUAAUGUAAAAGAUAUCGUCUUUUUUCUCGAUUUAAAUGUGUUCCUCCAAUUUGAUUCUGAAGCAGAAAUGCGUGUCAUAUUUUAGUAAAACAAAGCUUUCUUAAGGUACCAUUUUGAUUUGGACAUGCCACGCUAUAAAUGGAUGGUGAAUUUAAAUCCCGUCUACAGUCUCUUUAAGCAACUUUAUAGAUCUAAAAAAUUUAGGAAUACAAAUGAGAUUAAAAUAUGUAUAUUGUAUGUUUAUGUUAUUUACGAAACUAACGCCAAGUGUUUUACCAUGUAAUUUUGUCAAGUUUCAAAAUUGCCAUAUUGGCAAGUGUUAAGAUGCAAGUAGACAUACCAGCCUUAUGAAAAUGUAUAAAAACAAUAAAAAUACAAAAUAUU
rnacentral:misc_RNA from 1 species